rnacentral:lncRNA from 1 species
AAGAAGUUCGACAAAUAUAACAAUGUUAAUACUGCCACAAUUUAUUCAUGCAUAACUCAAAAUAAUACAAAAUAAAUUUUGACAUAAAGAUCCAAAUUUAAGAGUUCAAGAAAUGGACCUUAGCUAAAUGAGAACGAUUCCUAAUGCCCGGACAGACCACGGACAAGACCAUCAACCGAAAAUCCGGCAACCUUGACUCUCAAAUGGUGACAAACUCGAGCCAGCCCGUAUUCUUUCAAAACUCAGACCACAAAACAGAAUUUAUGCUUCGUUUUUGGAAAAUAGAGCAGAGUCGAGGUCUUCUUUUCCUUUCCUUUCUUUAGUCAGAUUAAGUAGAACAAAAGUUUUCCAAUUGAAACCACACAGUUCCGGCGAACAACGGUGGCCAGCAGCGGUGAUUUUAAUCUCUCUUACUCAUUCAUUUUUAGCUUCUAUUUUUCAUGUGUUGUCUCUGUUUUCAAUCUCCUCCCAUUUCUAUUUGUGGGUAUGGUUGAUUUUUCGUUGGCUCUAGAGUGAAGGAGUGGUGGGGCGCCGACAACAAUAGGUUUUUGGGCAGGGUGGAUGUUGGAUCUUGGGAGAUGGAGAUGGGAGGGUCAUUUUUGGUGUUCUGCAGCUUUGUAUAUGUUCAAAUUUUUGCUGGAUUCUCCAUUGGAAGAGCUCUGCUAAAAAGGGUCCAAAGAUGGCUGAAGUUUUUGUUUUAGUCUAAGUCUCCCCUUUUUUGAUUUUGGAAUUAGGUAUUAUUUUAUAGGGGAUAUGAAUUAGGUUAGAUCAAUAGGGGAAUGGGUAUGGGCUCAAUAUUUUGGGCUUUCCAAAUUGGGCCUUUUCAAUUAAGACCAAACAAAAUUAGACUCAAAUUUCAUGCUCUUUCCUCUAAAACAAGACCAAAAAUACUACACCAUUUACUAAUUAAUCCUACUUAAGUAAAAUAACUAUUAAAAUAAAACUAUCCAUUAAAACAAACCUAUUUUUGGUAUUUUUUAAAUAUCAUACUAAAAGAUAAAAAAUGGAAAAAUCAUUGUAAAAUUAAGAUAAUCUUGGAACUAUUUUUGUAUUUUUGAAUUGUAUGUAAGGUAGAUAAAUUAAAAGUAACUAGAUAAAAAUAUUAAUUAGCUAAAUAAAAGAAUAAUAUUUUUUUUGUAAUUUUCAUUUUUGUGAUAAAAUAAAGUAAAAGAGUCAAAACUAUUUAGAAUAGCGAUACUAAACCUAAACUAAAUAUUUACGCUAAAAAUGUGUAAAACCUUGGGGAGGGUCAAAAAUUACAUGUCUACAGCUGCCCCUCUUUGAUUGGAAAUGCGAAGAGUUUUCAGGUAAAGAACGACGAGACAAUUUUUUUUUUACCCGACCCUUAUUUAAAGAGACCAAAAACUAAGAGAAAGGAGAAUGUGACCGAGCCCUGGUAUCUGAGCUGCCUACAUAUCCUUGGCUAUAAAAGAAUCAGUCCACAUGUAGUUUAGAAUUAGGAAGAGUGAUGGAGUAUACCGAGGUGGAGAGCCGAUUGAGGUGUUGUUCCGUCGAAGUUCCGGUCCGCAGUCCUACUAUUAUAUCAAAAUAAAAAAUGAAAAAGACUAACUAAGCCUAUCAGCUACGAGUUACAAUAUUCCUAUCUAUGAGUCUUCUAAAGCUUGAUCUUGGGUCUUGGUUAGUUUUCAUGCAGACUCUAAUCUGAAUCUUGAUGCUUGUUAGCUGAAAGUGUUAGUUCAUUCUUCUACGGCUUCUUUGGAUCAAGACCGGACACGCAAUGCUCGUGACUUCAGCCAUGUCUUGAGCAACUCACAUCUUUCAUCUGCUUCUGCAUUUGGAUUCACUUCCCUUUUUUUUCUUUUCUUUCUUUUUCUUGGAUUGAGACUUCUUCUUUGGUCAUCUCAAACCCCCGUGACUCGAGAUAAAAACCUUAUUCUUCAAGCAACUCGUGCUACCUCGGAUUUGAAACUUCAAAUGAAUUCCCUUGUUUUCCAGGUGGGCACCUGCAACUUAGACUUUAAAAUGAAUUCCCUUAUUUCUAGGUGGGCGCAUGCAGCUUAACUUGAAAUGAAUUCCCCUAUUUUCUAGCUGGGCGCCUGCAGCUUAACUUGAAAUAAAUUCCCUUGUUUUCCAGGUGGGCGCCUGAAACUUAAAUUUGAGAUGAAUUCCCUUAUUUUCCAGGUGGGCGUCUGCAACUUAAACUUGAAAUAAAUUCCCUUGUUUUCCUGUGGGCGCCAGAUGCCAAAACUUGAAAUGUAUUCCCUUAUUUUUCAGGUGGGCGCCUAAUGCCAAAACUUGAAAUGCAUUCCCUUGUUUUCCAGGUGGGCGCCUGAUGCCAAAACUUGAAGUGUUUUCCUUUGUUUUCCAGGUGGGCGCCUGAUGCCAAAACUUGAAAUGUAUUCUCUUGUUUUCUAGAUGGGCACCUGAUGCGAAAACUUGAAAUGUAUUCCCUUGUUUUCUAGGUGGGUGCCUGAUAUCAAAACUUGAGAUGUAUUCCCUUGUUUUCCAAGUGGGCGCUUGCCAUUACAACAAAAUAGACAAAACAAAAGAAGCUUUAUGUCCCAGUUUGGUACCGGGAACAUCUGUGAGUGUUAAUCGAAUCAUGUUAUCCAAAAGAGCUCUAAGAAUUUAAAAGUUAAAUCCCAUUAUCCAGGAGGGCCUUGAAAACUAAAACGAAAUCUCAUCUUAAGAAUGAAAAUUUGAAAGCUAAAUUCUAUUUUCUAAAGGUAAAACUUGCACUAAAUCUCAUUAUCUAUGAGGGUCCUAAAACUUAAAACUAAAUACCAUUAUCCAGGAGGGUCCUGACAACUUAAAACUAUAUCCCAUUAUGCAAGAGGGUCCUAAAAACUUGAAAUUAAAUCUCAUUAUGCAGGAGGGUCCUGAAAACUUGAACUUAAAUCCCAUUAUCCGGGAAGGCCCUGAACUUAAGGAAAGCUAAAACUCUUCUGACUAGGGAGAAUGCCUAGGAGGUACCGGUUCUUCUCGACUAGGGAAAAUAUGUAGGAGGUAAAAACCUUCUUAACUAGGGGAAUGCCUAGCAAGUAAAACCUCCUCAAACAGCCUUUGUGCUGACAAAAUGUGGGCACGACACUUGAAAAAUUCAAGCUUCCAAGCUUUGAUUUGGACAUAGUCUUCGUCCCUGUUUCAAACAAAGAAAACUUGUAAGUUCAAAUAUGGUAGUUUGUUUGUGGCCUUGACUUUGAGGGCGAUUGAUCCUUCACUUCCCAUGAUAACUUUGAUUUCAACUCCAAAGACCUUGCUUGUUUAUUGACUAACCACUUUCUCUGUCACCCUUAUCACAGAAAAUAUCUCUGAUCCAUUCAAACUCAACAUCCUUUAUCUAUCGCAUUGCUCAUGAAUUGACAUAUACCGAACCUUUGUAUUUCACAUGAAUCCCAAAGAACGUUGAUUGUUACCAACUAGGUGCGCAUACUAUUCUUUCCUGACGUAUGCCACUUUGAUGUGCUAGCCAGAUUCCGUUUUGUGCAAUUGGAAAGCUGGUGGCAAAUUGUGAAGUCAUUUCUCACUUGUUCUGACCAAACAGACUCAGGAAGAGGAAAUAAAUAAGACAAAAGGAAUAGAGUAAAGGACAAUCGAAAGAGAUGAUUCCUAACAAGAAAACUACAAAGUAGAAACUUAUCAGAUAUAGAGACCAACUCUAAUGACCAUGAUAUGCACCUUUGGAUUAAGUGGCCUAAUCUGUCAAGCAAGUCUAAUGUUUAACUCUUGUUGUACCUCUGAGUCGUGAAACUGGGCUUCAAUGUUCUGAUUAUCCUAUCUGAUUCACGGUCCUUAUUCAACUUGUAGUUCCCGAAUGGGUUUUCACCAUCAAGCCUCUCUCAUUUUGUUCUUUCUCUCAACUUACCGUCGCCUUAUGGUGCCUGUGAAGGUUUUCACCAAUAAGACUCUCUCAUUUUUUUCUUUUCUUUUUUUUCCUCUGAUUCUGCAGAUGACAAGGCAUUAACCACGAUAAAAAUAUCAUAUGCUCUUGGCAUGUCUGACUCGACACUCUCAAAGAUUAUCUGGGAGGUCAUUUGGUCUAUAAUGUGGCUUUUGGAAAGGGUUAGAAAUAAAGGAUAUCAUAAAGUCUCAAAAUAACUAAGACAACACGGUUAAUUUAUCUACAACUUUUGGAAUCCACUAUAAAAACUUUGCCCCAAUGUCUAAAACAAGGGAAUUUGAUUCUUCUUCUUUUUUUCUUUUUUUUUGAGAUGAAAUUUCUAAGAAAGACUACCCCACUCUCUACUUGGUGGGAUUAUGAAAUAUUUUAUUUGGUGAGACCGAACCUUAAGGCUGCCUACGUAUCUUGUGGUGAUAUGAAUCAAGUCGAAUGUAGUUCAAAGGGAUGCUUUCUUUUCGUUGCUAUUCUUCUUUUUUUCUUUUUUUCUUUUUCUUUUUCUUCUUUUUCUAUUUUUUCCUUUUUGACUUUUCUUUUAGGACGAACUUUCUAAAAUAAACCUACGGAGACAUGAAUUUUUUUUCUUUUCUUUUUAUGACUCUGACUUGAUUCCAAAUAGGGGAGGUCAAGAAAAUUAGCACAGACUCAAAAGGGGUACCGAAUGGUACAAAGUAUUUGGGUAGCUGAAAGAGUGCCUCCCAAUCUCUGAAAAGGCCAAGCACAAUACCUGCAACUUGAGGAUGAAAAUUGAAGAUCAUGCACAAUAUUUCUUUUGCAGCUUUGGCAUUGAUAUCACUGAUAUGACUUCCACUUUUUAGUGCCUUGUUAAGUAGAAAACUCUCUUUGGGUGACUCCCUCUUCACAAUGGAUAUCCUCUGUCAAUUCGGAGCAAACUCUCUUGACUUUAUCUUGUAAAUUGAGGUGCACUUGAACAUAAAAAUUGCUCACUUCAAAUUAUCUGGGAUGCACUCUCCUUUAACGACUUCUUGUCAUCUUAUUAACUUCCAAAAUUAUCUGCCCCAGUUUCACAUAGUUCAGGCUUUAAAUGAUCUCAAAAUGUCCAAAUCUAUGCUUAUUCCCUCAAAUGUCCCUAUCAUCUUCAAAAUUAUUUCAUUUCUUUGUGAUUAAACUAACUUUUAAGAUCAAGCCUAGAAUUAUGCGUGCAUUUCAUGUCACUAGAGCCAUCAUGUAAAGAAAUAUAAAAGGAGAAGAGAACUAAACAAAAAAUGACUAGAAAUAACAAAAAACAAAAAAUUGCAUUAGAUAGACAGUGAAAGGGUUUGAACAACGAAACAAGCGAACUAAACUGGGGUUACAACCUCGGAACAAACCUAGAUAACACUAAAUGAGUUACUAGGACUAAAUGAACUAAUCAAAAUAAAAGGAUAGAAGGGUUUGAGUCACAAGGCAACAUCCGGAUUACAACCCUGAAAUAACCCGGACAACAGAAAUGACAACAAAAUAAACCACCAGGACUCCCCUGGCUAGCCAAGAAAUGAGCAUUUUUCCAAUUACCAAGCUUGACAUCUUAGCCACUGAGUUCCACAUCAAUUUACCAAUACCAUUACCAAUUUCAAUCACAUUGACCUCAUCAAAUAGCUUUUGGGUCCCUUUUGCCAACUCGUUCAUAAGAUCAACUUUUGGAACUAAGACUGAUAGCGCUGAAGACUUUGCGACAAGUGGCCCUCCAAGAAGUUCAGAAGAGGUCUCAUAUUCAUUUUCAACACAAAUCAUUCCCACCAUAUGCGUCUCAUUAUGAACAUGCAAUGAACUUUGGCUAGUAUCCGUUGCACCUAGAUUUUGCACGGUAAUGUCACCUGCAUCAAUAAGCUUUUGGAGUGCUCUUUUCAGAUGCCAACAUUUUUUUAUACUGUGCACCGGGGGAUUUGAGCAAUAUGCGCACCUAUGAGAAUAAUCAAAAUUCUCUGGAAGGGGGUUCAACAUUUUUAUCUGAAUCGGCUUCAACAUGCCCGAUUGCCUCAAUCUUUGGAACAAGCUGACAUAUGAUUCUCCAAUAGGAGUGAAAGACUUUUCUCUUUAUUGCUGCCUUUUAAUUUUGUACUCCGGCCUCGACUGGAACCUCUUACAGGCAGGUGGUUGAUAUGCUUGUAGAGGUGGGUAAGACAUUUGUGGAGAUGGUGCAAGCCAUUAUGGGUCUUGUAGAUGUGGAGUAUAUGGCGGUGCAUUGUGGAUGGAGUACUAGGAAAGUGAGGUAUGAAUUUGGGGAUUUUGUGGAGAGAAGUAGCAUUGGGGAGGAUUCUCUAGAGCACAGGGAUAUCCAUGGGGUCGAUAUUGAGGCUGAAAGCAUUGAGCAGGAAUAUCCACCGGAUCCUGUCGUUGGCGUGGCUCAACAACAUAUUUUCUAUUUCUCUUUCUUCCACCUAAACUUACUGAGAUGUUCUGAAUGUCUUCUGUAGUAUCUUUCAAUGCAGAAUAACUCAUGAUUUUGCCUGACUCGAUUAUUUCCUCUACCAUUUCCCCCAUUUGUUCCACAUCAUUGAAAGGUUUGCCCAUGGCUGAGAUCAAAUGCCUGAAGUAGGUGGGCUCCUGGGCUUGUAGGAAAAUCUCAACCAUUUCUUCUUCACCAACCGGGGGCUGACCCGAGCAGCUCGUUCCCUCCAUCUGAGCCCAAACUCCCUAAAACUUUCCUCGGGUUUCUUUUCCAUCUUAGACAGGAAGGAGCGGUUUGGGAUAAUGUCUAGAUUGUACUGAAAGUAUCGAACAAAAUCUUGAGCCAUGUCAUCCCAUGCAUGCCACUUCUUGACAUCUUGACGAGUAUACCAUUCCAAUGCUACCCCACUCAAACUCUCACUGAAAUACGCCAUCAACAAAUUAUUUUUCCCGCCAACACUUUUCAUUUCACUGCAAUAACCCCUCAAAUGGGCUACUGGAUCUCCCCGCCCAUCAUACAAGUUAAACUUUGGCAUUUUAAACCCUGCGGGCGGAUAAACAUCAGGGAACAUACACAAGUCAUUAUAAGACACAUUAAUCUGAUUUCCCCUGCCUUGCAUGUUUUUAAGGAUUGGUCUACACCUUUCAGCUUUCUAGAUAUCUCAUCUCGCUCUUCUUUCCUUGUGAACUUUUCAUUCUUAACAUGAAGCUCAAUUUGAGGGGUAUCAUCAUAUGAGUUCGAGACCUGGUGGGCUAGCUCUGGGGUAGUAUUGGGCAUCAAGGGGGUUGAAUUGGUGUUCACUGUUGGACAUGAGGAGAGGUUGUUGAGAAGUUGUGAUCGUGGAGGUAGUGGAUAUGAUAGGAUGGCUAUUUUUGGGAAAGGUAGUUGAAGGACGAAUGAUGGAACUACUGGGGAUGUUGGGAAAGUUGUGAUAAGAGGGAAAAUCUGGAGAGUAUGGUGGAUGAUCUGACACUAUGUCUGGAGCUUGGGUAAGGGUAGCAUCUAGGAUGCUAGGUGGUGGCAGGGGUGGUGCCUUCCCAGCCAUCCAAGCCUGAUACAUGUCGGUCAUGUAUUGUCUUAACAUCCUUAAAUCCUCAACCAACCCAAGGUCCUGUUCAACCAAUUGCUUUCGGGUACCAGUAUCAACCAACUCAACUCCAUUGUCGUCUGCCGUUGUCUUUCGACUUUAAGUUGUAGGGAAGAGUUACCAGUUUAAGAAUCACAAACCAACCACCCUCCUGCUAUAAUGAAGAUAACAAAGGGGAACAAAAUGAAGUCAUCAUGUUAGCGUUAGGGCAUUUAACAACAAAUAGUAUCAUAUUAUAUGCAAUGCACCUAGUCAUAAUUAUCGGUUCUAAAAUGAUUUCGAGGGUACGAAGGUCAUAUGGCAUCAUCCCAAUUUCACUCUUCUUGCCCAGUUUCCUUCUUCAUUUUCCUUUCUAGCACCGUUUGGUUUUUUAUUUCCUUUCUCCUCUUUUCUUUUGCUUAUCGCUCUUUUCUUUCCUCUCAUUCCUCACAUCCCACAACUUCAUUCUCUUUUUUUCUUUUUUUUUUCUUUUUUGUUUUUGUUUUUUUAUGCUUUUUUAUUUAAUGAUGAUUUGGUCGAACCCUAUAUAGGUUGCCUACGUAUCAUGUCCCUUAUGAAUCAAACCAAGCGAAGUUCUGGAAAAGUAACUAAAAAAAAUAAAAAUCUUUUUGGAUUAUUCAUUUACAACUUUUUCGAUUUUCAAUAUAAAAUAGGAAAUACGAUAACGGAAGACUUGACAAACUCAACUAUACUAUGACAAACUCUGACACCAACUAAAAGAAUCAGUACUGCUGAAUAUGACUAUAAAGUACAAGACUCCUGAAUGCAACAAUCCUGACUGUAUGAGAAAACUAAAACUAAAUAGAGUUAAAGACUUAGAACAUUAUGUGAGACAUGAUUGAAGCUAUUUUUUAAAAAUAGCCUAUGUGGCCAAAAGGUUUCUAGAAAUGCAAACUCAACAAAGGUGACCUAUAAGACAUGGACAAAUUACUUUACAGAAAUGACCCAUUUUGUAGAAAUGGCCUAUGGGGACAACAAGAUGGAUAAGCAUGCAAAUUCAACACAAUGGACCUUAAAUAGAGAGAACAUCUUGUUGUGGACUUAGAACUCUAAGACAUGGGUCAUUGAACCACUUUUGCAAAAAUGACCCUAUUUUGCAACAAUGUCGAUGUGGCCAAAAGCGACUAGACAUGCAAAUUCGACAAGGAUGGGUCUUAAAGUAAAGAUAUACCUAAUUGUAGAUUCAAGACUCUCCAGAUAAUUAAACAAACCACUUUUGUGAAAAUAGCCAUAUUUUGCAAAAUGACCGAUUUGGCCAAAAGUGGCUAGAGAUGCAAGAAUUGGUUACGACCCUCGAAGCCAAGAACUUAAGAUUCAAUAAGAAGAACGGGAACUAUGUGGGUUGCCUACGUAUCACGCCCCAAAAGACGAGAAUCAGGUAUGCGUAUUUCGGGAAGAUUGGAUACAUGCGAGAAUUAAAAAAAACAACCAAUUUAGAGAAAAUAUAUCUUUUGUCUUUUGUUUUAAAAAAUGAUGAAACGUGUAAACUCUUUUUGGAUUUUUUUCCCUCUAUUUAUUUAUUUAUUUGGAAUAUGAUGGAAAAGUGCAAAAUCUUUUUGGAUUUUUCAUGUUUUUUUUCUUAAAAAAAAGUGAAAGAAAAACAUAAUUGGGCCCUACUUACUUUAUUUUUGUACACUUCACUCUCUUUUUCUCAUUUAUCCUCAAACCUCAUUGGUCCGCCAAAUGACCCCUUUUACCCUUGAAAAUUGCAACAUGUAGCACAUAGGAUGCAUCAGGAUGGUCUUUUAUUUUCGGGUACACCUGUCCUAGACGGACUCAAUCCCUAUGUUGAGUCCCCAAAGUCAGAUACACAUGAUGCAAACAAGAGUUCCUACUAAAGAUCUAGCAUGAUGAUGUGUUAUUCUAGGUUUAAAACCUGGGUGUAUUGUUCUAGACCUGGCUUACCCGAACAGACAACUCGAGCCCAGGGGGGGGAGGAGCUACGUACCGGGAACCAAAAGGCCAUCCGGCUUUGUAACUUGUUCGAACCUCGUUCUAAAUUAGGGUAUGACACCAAUAGAAAAGAAGUCACGUCAGCGUGCAAUUCCCAGAAGAUUAGAAGAGAAGGGUUUCGCAACAGUUUGUAUACAGUUUAAAUAAUAUCCAAGCGGUAAAAAGUGGCAUUUAGCACAUUAGGCCCAAACAUGUAAAAAUCAGAUAAUAUAUAAAAGACAAAUAUAAAAAUUAUUCUAAGCUCGAAUUCUUGAACCCUGAACUAGAAGUUCUGGGUUCAACAUCCCCAGUAGAGUCGCCAGAGCAGUCACACCUCCUUUUUACCACCCGAGGGGAUAUAAGGAAAUUUUUCCAGUUAAAGUGACAAUAAUCAAAACGGGAUUAUUUAUUCAAAAUCAGAGUUGACACUUGGGAUAAUUUAUAGUGUCCCAAAUUACCGGUUUAAAAUUCCGAAUCGAGGAACAUUGACUCUAUUUUUUGGUCCGCGAACACAGAAGACCGGGUAAGGAAUUCUGUUAACCCGAGAGAAGGUAUUAGGCAUUCUUGGGUUCCGUGGUUUUAGCACGGUCUCUCAACUAUUAUUAAUUGGCCUAAUUAUCUGACUUAUUACAUGUUUUAAAACCUAUUGUGCAUGUUUUAACUUUUAACCACUUUCAUUUAUUUAAACAAUUAUGGAAUUUGUUGAACAAGCCACGAUGUCGUGCACUUAUUUAUUUUUGUACAUGUUGCGAAUCUUGUCACGAAAACCGUACCCAUAAUCUAUAACAUGUGUAUUUUAUUAAGGUUCGAAAUUGGAGCCGAAUCACAUGAAAUGCACACCGGAAUUGGGGAUUACAUAUCACAACUACGUCAUGGGAACCGUAGCUAUGAUGACUUGUUAUAGCGUGCCUAAAGCAAACUAUGAAUGUUCAUAAUUAUUGGUUUUACUAAAACUGAGAUUGUUUGUUAGGUCAUAAACUAAGGAGUUAUUUGGAGAAGAAAUGAGAAUUUGAUCACCACAAAUCAUUUAGGCUUAUGGCCGAACUUAUCUUACUAUUAUUAAACUCAAACAAUGCCUUUGAAACAAGAUCUAGUUCCUCUAUUACGACAUAAUUUCAACACAUCAAACCCAUAUCUUAUACUAUUAACAAACUAUAUUUUCCGAAUAUGUUACUACUAAUUAUCUUUACAUUUCAACUAACACACAAAAGAGAAGAAACUAAAUCAUAAUUAUUUAAAACAUUUCCUUAGACAAAUAUGCGGAAUAUUCAAAACUUAAGAUCUAAAGAUUGCAUCAGGGAGCAAACGACCUUGUAAUUGCGCCAACAAAAUGGAGAAGGAAGGUUAAGAAGAUUCAAGUCAUUGGAUCCUUAGUUAAAAUAUAUGACUGUACAUUGAUUUCCUUUCUGUCUAUCAUGCUUUUCAAUCUUGCCACAAUAAGAAAAAUGCUUCUGUAUUAAAUGAAGUUUAAACUAGGAAGAAGUUCGACUAGUGUAAUAAUGUUAAUACUGCCACAAUUUAUUCAUGCAUAACUCAAAAUAAUACAAAAUAAAUUUUAACAUAAAAAUCCAAAAUUUAAGAGUUCAAGAAAUGGACCUUAGCUAAAUGAGAACGAUUCCUAAUGCUCGGGCAAACCACGGACAAGGCCAUCAACUGAAAAUCCGGCAACCUCGACUCUCAAAUGGUGACAAACUCAAGCCAGCCCGCAAUCUUUCGGAACUCAGACCACAAAAUAGAAUUUAUGCUUCAUUUUCGGAAAAUAGAACAGAGACGAGGUCUUCUUUUCCUUUCCUUUCUUUAGUCAGAUUAAGCAUAUUCGAAGUUUUCGAUUGAAACCAUAUAGUUCCGGCGAACAACGGUGGCCAGCAGUGGUCAUUUUAAUCUCUCUUACUCACUCAUUUUUAGCUUCUAUUUUUCAUGUGUUGUCUCUAUUUUCCGUCUCCUCCCAUUUCUAUGUGUGGGUAUGGUUGAUUUUUUGUUGGCUCUAGAGUGGAGAAGGGGUGGGGCGUCGACAACAGCAGGUUUCUAGGCGGGGUGGUUGUUGGGGCUUGGGAGAUGGAGAUGCGAGGGUCAUUUUUGGUG